rnacentral:tRNA from 1 species
CUGGAUAGGCGGGCUUUGAUCCCACGAAAUUUUAGUUAACAGCUAAUUACCCAAACCAGCGGGCUUCAAUCCG